UGGGGAAUUUUUCGCAAUGGGGGCAACCCUGACGAAGCAACGCCGCGUGGGUGAUGAAGUAUUUCGGUACGUAAAACCCUUUCGACGGGGAAGAAACCGCAAGGUUGACGGUACCCGUAGAAGAAGCCCCGGCUAACUCCGUGCCAGCAGCCGCGGUAAUACGGGGGGGGCAAGCGUUGUUCGGAAUUACUGGGCGUAAAGGGCGCGUAGGCGGUUCGCUAAGUUGGAUGUGAAAACUCUGGGCUUAACCCAGAGCCUGCAUCCAAAACUGGCAAACUUGAGUACUGGAGGGGAAAGCGGAAUUCCUGGUGUAGCGGUGAAAUGCGUAGAUAUCAGGAGGAACACCGGUGGCGAAGGCGGCUUUCUGGACAGUAACUGACGCUGAUGCGCGAAAGCUAGGGGAGCAAACAG
rnacentral:rRNA from 1 species